rnacentral:SRP_RNA from 1 species
GCCGAGCUCAGUAGCGUGGGCUUGUGACCUGAGCGGGGGCAUCAAAGUUGAUGGGACAUGGGCUUGGUUACAUUGUGUCGGGUCCGCUGCGGCCGUCUACUGGCCCGCCCGUUUCAAGCCGAGAGUUGGGAUGUGUGGCCUGGGCGGAGGCCCGGGCUCUGCAGCCCCUAGAGUGGAGGGUACAGCGUGAGGCUGGCUUGACAGAGCAGCGAAAACCUCCCGCUCCCGGUAGUGGAAGGAUAACGGGCCGGUGCCACUCGGACCCACUAUGUGGCCCAAUGGGCCAAACCCAUCUGAACCAUCACUUUA